AAUAUAUUUUAUUUUGGUAGUCAUAUUUUCUUAUUUCUUUAUUUUACAUAUUUUUUUUAAUUUUGAUAAUUUUAAUUUUUAUAGUAAAUAUUUUUUUUAUUAAUUUUUAUAUUUGAUGAAGUUAUAGAAUAAAAAAUUAACAUAUUUUGUGCCAGCAGUUGCGGUUAUACAAUUAAUUUGAGGGAAAUUUAAUUGAUAAGUAAUUAUUUUAAAAAAAUUAAAUAAUAAAUUUAAAUUUAGGGGUAAAAUUUAAAUUUAUUAAAUUAUUUUAUUUAUAAUAUAAUUAUGAAAUUAAAAAGUAAAUCAGGAUUAGAUACCCUGCUAUUUUUAAUGUAAAUUUUUUGGAGUAGUAAAAGUUAUGAUCUCUAAACUUAAAAAAUUUGGCGGUAUUUUAUCUUAUUAGAGGAAUCUGUUUAUUAAUCGAUAUUCCACGACUAAAAUUUACUUUUAUAAUUUUACUUAUAUACCGCUGUCAUGAAUAUAUUAAUAUAUAAUUUUCUAUUUAUUUUUAUUAGUUUUAUGUUAGGUCAAGGUGUAGUUUUAAAAAGAAAAAAAUGGAUUACUAUAAAAAUUAUGAAUGGAAAGAUUUUAUGUAUUUUAUGAAAAUAGGAUUUAAAAGUAAUUUUAAUUUAUAGAAAUUGAAUGAAAAAGAUUCUAAAAUAUGCACACAUUGCCCGUCACUCUUAUAUUAAUAUAAGAUAAGUCGUAACAUAGUAAAUGUACCGGAAGGUGUAUUUGAAAAUAA
rnacentral:ncRNA from 1 species